GACAGGCUUUGAGCCUCCACAUCAGGCUCAAAUUCAAGAAGUACCUGGACAAGGUUAGGCCGACCUUGAGCAACCGCCAAGUGAAUCAAAGAUUGGCCCUCAUAAUCCACAGAAUCGGCGGCUCUCCAUGAAGAUUGGUCCUACGGCAACUACUAUGGCGGAUUGGGACCCUACAAAGGCCGAAAAAAAGUGCUUGUGAAGGUUCUUUGGAGAUUCAUUUUUAUGUUUAUCAAGUGUUUAAUGAAAUGUCUUAUGGGAAUAUCAACAUUAUU